rnacentral:rRNA from 1 species
GGAGGAAAGCAGGGGAUCGUAAGACCUUGCGUUAAUGGAGCGGCCGAUAUCUGAUUAGCUUGUUGGUGAGGUAAAGGCUCACCAAGGCGACGAUCAGUAGCUGGUUUGAGAGAACGACCAGCCACACUGGAACUGAGACACGGUCCAGACUCCUACGGGAGGCAGCAGUGGGGAAUUUUGGACAAUGGGGGCAACCCUGAUCCAGCCAUUCCGCGUGAGUGAAGAAGGCCUUCGGGUUGUAAAGCUCUUUCGCAAGGGAAGGAAACUUAUGAUCGAAUAAAUCAUGAGGUUGACGGUACCUUGAUAAGAAGCACCGGCUAACUACGUGCCAGCAGCCGCGGUAAUACGUAGGGUGCGAGCGUUAAUCGGAAUUACUGGGCGUAAAGCGUGCGCAGGCGGUUUUGUAAGUCGGAUGUGAAAUCCCCGGGCUCAACCUGGGAACUGCGUUUGAAACUACAAAGCUAG